CAGUAGCCGCGGGAAUACGGAGGGUGCGAGCGUUAAUCGGAAUUACUGGGCGUAAAGCGUACGCAGGCGGUUUGUUAAGUCAGAUGUGAAAUCCCCGAGCUUAACUCGGGAACUGCAUUUGAAACUGGCAGGCUAGAGUCUCGUAGAGGGGGGUAGAAUUCCAGGUGUAGAGGUGAAAUGCGUAGAGAUCUGGAGGAAUACCGGUGGCGAAGGCGGCCCCCUGGACGAAGACUGACGCUCAGGUACGAAAGCGUGGGGAGCAAACAGGAUUAGAUACCCCAGUAGUCCCUGUCUCUUAUAC
rnacentral:rRNA from 1 species